AUUGAACGCUGGCGGCAUGCCUUACACAUGCAAGUCGAACGGUAACAGGUUAAGCUGACGAGUGGCGAACGGGUGAGUAAUAUAUCGGAACGUGCCCAGUCGUGGGGGAUAACGUAGCGAAAGCUACGCUAAUACCGCAUACGAUCUACGGAUGAAAGCGGGGGAUCGCAAGACCUCGCGCGAUUGGAGCGGCCGAUGUCAGAUUAGGUUGUUGGUGAGGUAAAAGCUCACCAAGCCUGCGAUCUGUAGCUGGUCUGAGAGGACGACCAGCCACACUGGAACUGAGACACGGUCCAGACUCCUACGGGAGGCAGCAGUGGGGAAUUUUGGACAAUGGACGCAAGUCUGAUCCAGCAAUGCCGCGUGCAGGACGAAGGCCUUCGGGUUGUAAACUGCUUUUGUACGGAACGAAACGGUGAGCUCUAAUACAGUUUGCUAAUGACGGUACCGUAAGAAUAAGCACCGGCUAACUACGUGCCAGCAGCCGCGGUAA
rnacentral:rRNA from 1 species